AGAGUGGCGUCAAAUUCUCCUGCGUCCUGUGAUAUGCAUGAUACAGACCUAAAUGAAACUGGCAUUCUCUUGGGAAGGAAGAGUGGAGAAUGGGUGCUGGAUUGCAACUAACGGCAUCUACUACACUUUCCAGGUAGUUAUAAAAGUAGAUAGUUUUAGAAAAUUUAAAAGCCAUAGGAAAGAAAAUAUUUUGUAUAUUUACAAGGUAUGAGGUUUUCCAGGGUGAGAUUUAGCAAAGUUCAUAGAACAAUGGAACUCAAUUCUGCCACUAGUAAGUAAGUUGCAGAGUUUAGUUUCAAAUACAGGUGUAUUUGAGUAAAGGCUUAAGCCUCCUCUUUAAACUUCCAUUGCCUCAUCUUUAAAAUGGUGAUAAUACAUAGUUUUUAGGGCUGUCAGGACUGGAAAGAAUGAGUGCAGGGGAACUGGCACGUAACAUGGGAUCAGUUGAUUGUAACCAUCACUGUUUGUAAUAACGGUGUAUGUGUGUGUGUGUGUGUGUGUGUGUGUGUGUGUUGAGAGCUAGUACAGCAAUUGACAAUGUUUGGAUGAUCUCCAUUUAGGGGAACAGCAAAGAUCUGGUUUAUUUAAACUGUUAAGCUUGGUAUCAAUCCUUGGCAAAAUUCUGUAUCUGGCUAUAUAACAAUGGAAAAUUAAAGAAUUCAGCAAUGGUCAGACAAUGACAAGCAUCCCCUAAGAAGGGAUCAUACAAACAGACUUCGUUUCCUUUUUGGAUACCAAGUUGGUCUAUAUGGAGGCCAUGUUCCCCAGAGUAUGGUGUGUACACUAUUAGAAGCAUGUGGCUGUUCAUUGAUGUCACUCACUGAAAUUGAGUGAGCUACUGAAUUGAGCUGCUAUUGGGAUUAAAUAUACCACUGAAAAUUCUAAUUGUCAAUGACCAAAAGAUUGAUCCUUUGGACACCUGAAUCCUUUUUAAAGAAAGGGAUUUUAGAGAUCUCUUAUUCUUAACAAUAAAGAAAGGGAUUUUAGAGAUCUCUUAUUCUUAACAAUUGGUGGGAAGAUCAAAUUAAAAGAAGGAGCUAUAAUAGUGUCAUGGCUACCCUUAAAAAUUAUCUUGACUAAGUCAAAGAUCAAAAAUCUGACCUAAAACAGUUACACUCAAACUGCCCACUUUGAACUCCAUUCAGGAUUAACAUGGAGGCUAGUCCAUUUUGUAGUUUGGUGGUUAAAAUUCCCAUCAUGGCUUGGGUUGUCUUCCUAAUGAGGAAUCGGUCCCUUUUGGUUUGAUAUUUCUGUUGACUUGAAAUAUCAGCUGUUUCUCUCAGCUAAAAUCUGGUAAUAAAUUACUUGAAAAAAUUUUUAAAAAGAGUCCUACUGUUAGAAGUC
rnacentral:lncRNA from 1 species